AUUGAACGCUGGCGGCAGGCCUAACACAUGCAAGUCGAACGAGUGGCGGACGGGUGAGUAAUGUCUGGGAAACUGCCCGAUGGGGGGGGAACACUACUGGAAACGGUAGCUAAUACCGCAUACCAUCGGAUGUGCCCCGAGGGGAUUGGCUGGUAGGGGGGGAAAUGGCUCACCUAGGCGGCGAUCCCUAGCUGGGAGGAGAGGAGGACCAGCCACACUGGAACUGAGACACGGUCCAGACUCCUACGGGAGGCAGCAGUGGGGAAUAUUGGACAAUGGGCGCAAGCCUGCUGCAGCCAUGCCGCGUGUAUGAAGAAGGCCUUCGGGUUGUAAAGUACUUUCAGCGGGGAGGCGUUACCCGCAGAAGAAGCACCGGCUAACUCCGUGCCAGCAGCCGCGGUAAUUC
rnacentral:rRNA from 1 species